UUAUUUAUUUUGCGAGGCAGACAGAGAGAAGUGUGAGAGAGAUACGUACGGGGAACUAGAGAGAGAUGGUGGUAAAAGCUCCUUCCUUCUCCCUCUUCCACUCUCUCGUAUCCUAGAACCAAAGUACUUGAGAGAGGCGGAAGAAAUUGAUGAAGAAUGAAGAAUGAAGAAUGAAGAAUGAAGAAAGGAAGAGCAAGAGCAAAGAGCAUGUCCCAUGGCUCGGAUGGAACGAAGAGCGUAGAUAGCUUCGAGUGCAAGAUACCUGCUUCAGCUCUCUGAUUGUUUGUUUCUUCUCUGUUGAAUCGAGACGUGAGAGAAGAUACAGAUUUGGUUUCUUGAAUGAAGCGGCCUUAGAUGAGGGCAUUUCCCUUUCAUGUCCGGAGGAAAGGGGGCUCAGAAGCCGCGGAAAGAGUAUUAGAGGCAAAGCGAGCUUUUUUCUCGGCGAAUAACGGGUCAAAGCUAGGGAUUCAAGAGGGAGGGGAACCAAGAUCGGUGCUUGAUCGCAGGAGCCCUAGCCCUCCCACCUCCACAGCCACAGUGUCUUCUUCCUUGGGCGGCUCAGGUUCAUCCGACAACGCCGGAGUGGCGGCGGUCUCCGAGUCCGCUGCAGGGGAGGGCGGCGGCGGCGGUGCAGGCUGGAAGGAAGAGUGGGCGGCCGAGCUGCACCCGGUACCAGCCGGCCUUGACCUGGGCUUCAACGCGAGUGGUGCAAAAUGCGGCCUUGGAGUCGACGACUGGGAGACGAUUCUCUCCGAGGAUUCCGCCAUCUCCCCCGUCCGCGAGCAGACUUUUCUCGGUUGGAUCAUGGGCGAUGCCGACCACCCUACCUCAGCCCGUCUGAAGCAGCAUCUCUUCGCUCAUAGUCCGCCGGAUUUCGAUGUAAAUAAUGGCGGCUUUGGAUUGGGGAUUCUCGACCCAGGCAACGGAAGCAUUGAAGACGUGGGUACUUUCGUCGCCGCCAACAGUGUUGGAGGCGACUUUCCAUUCCCGAGUAGUAACAGCUGGGUAUCGCCGCCGUCCACCGUCACCAGCAUCAAAGAGACCCCCAUUUUCCCCACAAACGAUAGUCAGCUAAUCUCGCCGCCUCUUCCGCCGGCGGGCAACUUCGCCUCGCUGUUCUCUUUGCCACCGGGAAUAUACUUGCCGGACCCUUUGGAGGAUAAGCUGCAGCUAUUUGGCUCAAGCUUUCUCUUCAAUCAUCAAUCCGCCGCCCCGAAUCCGUCCUUCUUUCUCAGAGUAGGGCAGGCAGAGAAGCAGCAGCUGUCUCACCUCCUCAUCCCUACACAACCGAAGCUCCCUUUUCUUGCAUCUGGCGGUAGCUCGGACAUCUUCCCUAGGCAGCAACUCGAGCAGCAACAGCAAAAUCCAGGAUUUUCUCCGCCUCAGCUCCAACAAAGGUCGGUGAAACCCAAACUGUCAGUUUCCGGUGAUGAUGCGGCAACACCUGUAGCGGCUCAGCAGCUACAACAGGCAUUGGUUGACCUGCUUAUCGAAGCUGCAAAGAUGGUCGAGGUUAGAAAUUUCGUCGGCGCGCACAGGAUAUUGGCGCGGCUCAAUCACCAGCUCCCUUCCCCAUCAGGGAAGCCCCUUCUCCGCUCUGUCUUCUACUUCAAGGAGGCACUGCAACGUGUACUCUGUAACGGGCCUAUUCCUGAUCUCUCUUGCAAUGCAUCCUCCCUUCAUCAGCCGAGUCCAUUGUCAAUGCAAUUUGACAUUUUGCACAAGCUCAGUGCCUACAAGACAUUCUCCGAAGUCUCUCCCAUCGUCCAAUUCUCCAACUUUACCUGCAUUCAAGCGCUCUUGGAAGAGCUUUGUACCUCCGACUACAUCCACAUCGUAGACUUCGACAUUGGAGUUGGUGGACAAUGGUCUUCCUUCAUGCAGGAGCUAGCACAGCGACGCCUCUCUUCUGCAAAUCCAGUGCGAAUGCUGAAAAUGACAGUGAUCGUGUCUAAUUAUGUCCAGGACAAUCUGGAGCUCCACCUUGUACGGGACAAUCUCGCCCAUUUUGCAAGUGAUCUUAAUAUUCCCUUUGAAUUACGCUUCCAUAGUCUGGAAUCAUCCGAUGCCAUGGAGCUCCAUGUAACUGGAGGUGAAGCUGUUGCUGUAAAUCUCCCUAUAGGCUCUGGAAACCUUCCCUUACCAUCCAUUCUCCGCCUCGUCAAGCAACUCUCCCCGAAGAUUGUCGUCUCAGUCGACCAAGGUUGGGAUUGGAGUGACUUGUCAUUCUCGCAGCAUUUCCUACAUACUUUUCAGUCCUCCAUGGUGCUUAUGGAUUCCAUCGAUGCCACUGGGACUAACCAAGAUAUGACAGCCAAAAUUGAGAAGUUUCUGCUUCAACCAAGGAUAGAAAGUUCUAUUCUCGGGCGAUAUCUUGCUCCCGUCAAGAUACUUCCCUGGAGAACACUCUUUACUACCUCUGGUUUUAUCCCUAUUCAACUCAGCAGUUUCAUGGAGACACAGGCCGACUGCCUUUUGAAGAGAGUGCAGGUGAGAGGGUUUCAUGUGGAGAAGCGUCAAGCGACUCUUAACCUCUACUGGCAACGCAAGGAGCUCGUCUCAGUGUCAGCUUGGAGGUGCUGAAGAUCAAGCUACCUGGUUACAUUCAUGUAAUCCUUGUGUCCUGAUUCUUGAAUACCGGCUAGAAACACAAGUAAAAAAACUUCACUUUUCAUUCUCAAGCAAAAGGAUAGUUUACAGGCACUAGCUUGGCAAUGGCUGAAAUUAAGUGGAAUUGUCAAUCGUCCUGCAGCUGCUACAGGGAUUAAUGGUGCGAAAACACAGUCAAAUUUCAAAUUGUAGUUCCAGGGUUCAUCGGUGCUUUUGUCCAUAUCUAGUUAGUGAAUCAAACUUUGUAUGGUUGUCAGUACUGAAAUAUUGUAAUGUCGCCUAUUCUAAAACAAGAUCGUUCAUGGCUAA